CGGGUGAGUAAUAUAUAGCUAAUCUGCCCCUUGCUGGAGGGACAACAGUUAGAAAUGACUGCUAAUACUCCAUACUCCUUUUUACCUAUAAGAUAAAUCGGGAAAGAAAUUUCGGCAAGGGAUGAGACUAUAUCGUAUCAGCUAGUCGGUGGGGUAACGGCCUACCGAGGCUAUGACGCGUAACUGGUCUGAGAGGAUGAUCAGUCACAUUGGAACUGAGACACGGUCCAA
rnacentral:rRNA from 1 species